rnacentral:rRNA from 1 species
AACGAACGCUGGCGGCAGGCUUAACACAUGCAAGUCGAACGGAUCCUUCGGGAUUAGUGGCAGACGGGUGAGUAACGCGUGGGAACGUACCCUUUGCUACGGAAUAACUCAGGGAAACUUGAGCUAAUACCGUAUGUGCCCUACGGGGGAAAGAUUUAUCGGCAAAGGAUCGGCCCGCGUUGGAUUAGCUAGUUGGUGGGGUAAUGGCCUACCAAGGCGACGAUCCAUAGCUGGUCUGAGAGGAUGAUCAGCCACACUGGGACUGAGACACGGCCCAGACUCCUACGGGAGGCAGCAGUGGGGAAUAUUGGACAAUGGGCGCGAGCCUGAUCCAGCCAUGCCGCGUGAGUGAUGAAGGUCUUAGGAUUGUAAAGCUCUUUCACCGGUGAAGAUAAUGACGGUAGCCGGAGAAGAAGCCCCGGCUAACUUCGUG